rnacentral:rRNA from 1 species
AGUCAGCGGCGGACGGGUGAGUAACACGUGGGCAACCUGCCUAUCAGAUUGGGAUAACUCCGGGAAACCGGGGCUAAUACCGAAUAACAUCGAAAACCUCAUGGUUUUCUUUUGAAAGGCGGCUUCGGCUGUCACUGCUGGAUGGACCCGCGGCGCAUUAGCUAGUUGGUGGGGUAACGGCUCACCAAGGCAACGAUGCGUAGCCGACCUGAGAGGGUGAUCGGCCACACUGGGACUGAGACACGGCCCAGACUCCUACGGGAGGCAGCAGUAGGGAAUCUUCCGCAAUGGACGAAAGUCUGACGGAGCAACGCCGCGUGAGUGAAGAAGGUUUUCGGAUCGUAAAACUCUGUUGUCAGGGAAGAACAAGUAUGGGAGUAACUGCCCGUACCUUGACGGUACCUGGCCAGAAAGCCACGGCUAACUACGUGCCAGCAGCCGCGGUAAUACGUAGGUGGCAAGCGUUGUCCGGAAUUAUUGGGCGUAAAGCGCGCGCAGGCGGCCUUUUAAGUCUGAUGUGAAAGCCCCCGGCUCAACCGGGGAGGGUCAUUGGAAACUGGAAGGCUUGAGUGCAGAAGAGAAGAGCGGAAUUCCACGUGUAGCGGUGAAAUGCGUAGAGAUGUGGAGGAACACCAGUGGCGAAGGCGGCUCUUUGGUCUGUAACUGACGCUGAGGCGCGAAAGCGUGGGGAGCGAACAGGAUUAGAUACCCUGGUAGUCCACGCCGUAAACGAUGAGUGCUAAGUGUUGGGGGGUUUCCGCCCCUCAGUGCUGCAGCUAACGCAUUAAGCA